rnacentral:rRNA from 1 species
UGGUGGAGUGAUUUGUCUGGUUAAUUCCGUUAACGAACGAGACCUCAGCCUGCUAAAUAGUUGCGUGAACCUUCUACUCGGGUGAAGGGUGAGCUCUGGUGCAGUAGCUUGCUGCUGUAUCUGCUUGCUUGGAUCCUUGAUGAGUUCAUGAAUAUACUUCUUAGAGGGACUAUUGGUAUCUAGCCAAUGGAAGUUUGAGGCAAUAACA